CCGCCUCGGCCUCCCAAAGUGCUGGGAUUACAGGCGUGAGCCACCGUGCCUGGCAGAGUGGGCGUUUUUAAAUGAAGCAGUAUUCCUUUAGUUUGGUAAAAUUGAGCUGAAGUUACACACAGUAACACUUUGACUUGUUGCUGACGGUGUGCUUUGUGAGGAUAGUUGGUGUCUGAUCUCAACUGUGGAGAAACAGGAAGUUUCUGGAUUCAUGUUAAACUCCCAUUCCACAGGCGAGUUUCACAAAAGAAAAAGUGCUCUGUUGCAUACAAUUAUUCACUGUGUGUCUACAAUGUGGCAGAAAUUAUUAUUCCUAAAGGUGACCGAAGAGAGCUAUAGUUUAUGGGGCCAGGAGCAAUGUGUGGAAUGGCGAGGCAGUGACAAGACAGCACUGCCAUAAAUCUCUUACUUUCUUUCCAAACGAGCUCUAAUUUUAAGCUCAACGACCAAAGACGGAGAGGCAGUCGCUUUGAGCUACUCCUGGCUAUUUGUUGGGAAAUCACCUAAAUCCGUUCAGAUUUAGCCAGAAAAGGGGAAAUAAGUCUCCCUCGCCGGCCAAAUCAUGGCCUUUGUCGCUUUCGGCUCCCCAUUGGCUGCGGCCGCUGUGGCCCCGCCUCCUUGCGUGGUGCGGAGCUUUGUGAUGCGGGGCUUCGUGAUGCACGCCCUGAUGCCUGCGGGGCUAUAAAAACGCUCGCAAGCGUCAAGUCUCCUUAGGAGCCGCCGGCAAGGGGGCAACGAGGAAGCUCUAAAGAGCGCGGCCGGAAAGCAGUUGAGUUACAGACAUCCUGCCAAAAUGAUUUCUUCAAAGCCCAGACUUGUCGUACCCUAUGGCCUCAAGACUCUGCUAGAGGGAAUUAGCAGAGCUGUUCUCAAAACCAACCCAUCAAACAUCAACCAGUUUGCAGCAGCUUAUUUUCAAGAACUUACUAAGUAUAGAGGGAAUACUACUAUGGAUAUAAAAGAUCUGGUUAAACAAUUUCAUCAGAUUAAAGUAGAGAAAUGGUCAGAAGGAACGACACCACAGAAGAAAUUAGAAUGUUUAAAAGAACCAGGAAAAACAUCUGUAGAAUCUAAAGUACCUACCCAGAUGGAAAAAUCUACAGACACAGACGAGGACAAUGUAACCAGAACAGAAUAUAGUGACAAAACCACCCAGUUUCCAUCAGUUUACGCUGUGCCAGGCACUGAGCAAACAGAAGCAGUUCGUGAUCUUUCUUCCAAACCAGCCACCCCUGAGGCUACUACCCCACCCUCAUCACCACCUCCAACAGCUGUCUCACCAGAGUUUGCCUACGUCCCAGCUGACCCAGCUCAGCUUGCUGCUCAGAUGUUAGGUAAAGUUUCAUCUAUUCAUUCUGAUCAAUCUGAUGUGUUAAUGGUGGAUGUGGCAACCAGUAUGCCUGUUGUUAUCAAGGAGGUGCCAAGCUCAGAGGCUGCUGAAGAUGUCAUGGUGGCUGCUCCUCUUGUGUGUUCUGGAAAGGUGCUAGAAGUGCAGGUUGUGAACCAAACAUCUGUCCAUGUAGAUUUGGGUUCUCAACCUAAAGAAAAUGAGGCUGAACCACCAACGGCUUCCUCAGUCCCCUUGCAGGAUGAACAAGAACCUCCUGCUUAUGAUCAAGCUCUUGAGGUCACUUUGCAGGCUGAUAUUGAGGUUAUGUCAACUGUUCAUAUAUCAUCUGUCUAUAACGAUAUGCCUGUGACUGAAGGAGUUGUUUAUAUCGAGCAACUGCCAGAACAAAUAGUUAUCCCUUUUACUGAUCAAGUUGCUUGUCUUAAAGAAAAUGAGCAGUCAAAAGAAAAUGAGCAGUCACCACGAGUUAGUCCCAAAUCUGUAGUAGAAAAGACCACCUCUGGCAUGUCUAAAAAAUCUGUAGAGUCUGUAAAACUUGCACAGUUGGAGGAGAAUGCAAAAUAUUCCUCAGUAUAUAUGGAGGCAGAAGCAACAGCUCUGCUCUCUGACACAUCUUUGAAAGGUCAGCCUGAGGUACCUGCACAACUCCUGGAUGCAGAAGGCGCUAUCAAAAUAGGCUCUGAAAAAUCUCUGCACCUUGAAGUGGAGAUCACUUCAAUAGUCUCUGACAAUACUGGGCAGGAGGAGUCUGGGGAAAACUCUGUACCCCAGGAGAUGGAAGGCAAACCUGUGCUCUCUGGGGAAGCUGCAGAAGCAGUGCACUCAGGUACAUCUGUAAAGUCAUCUAGUGGCCCCUUCCCUCCUGCUCCAGAAGGCCUUACUGCACCAGAAAUUGAACCAGAAGGGGAAGCAACAGCUGAAUAAGGUUUGAUGAAGCCAGGGGAAGAAAAAAGGCUGCACCGGGGAUAGAUGGCCCAGUGUUCAAAAGCAAUGGCAACAAGUGAACGAGGACAACCACCACCAUAUU